rnacentral:rRNA from 1 species
UACGUAGGGGGCAAGCGUUGUCCGGAUUUAUUGGGCGUAAAGAGCGUGUAGGCGGCCAGACAGGUCCGUUGUGAAAACUGGAGGCUCAACCUCCAGACGUCGAUGGAAACCGUCUGGCUAGAGUCCGGAAGAGGAGAGUGGAAUUCCUGGUGCAGCGGUGAAAUGCGCAGAUAUCAGGAAGAACACCCGUGGCGAAAGCGGCUCUCUGGGACGGUACUGACGCUGAGACGCGAAAGCGUGGGGAGCGAACAGG